rnacentral:rRNA from 1 species
ACGCUUGCGACGAGGUGUUGCAUGGCUGUCGUCAGCUCGUGUCGUGAGAUGUUCGGUUAAGUCCGCUAACGAGCGCAACCCUCGCUGUAUGUUACAUGUGUCAUACAGGACCGCCGGUAUCAAGCCGGAGGAAGGUGGGGAUGACGUCAAGUCCGCAUGGCCUUUAUGUCCGGGGCUACACACACGCUACAAUGGUCGGUACAAUGGGUUGCUAAGCCGCGAGGUGGAGCCAAUCCCCCAAAGCCGGCCUCAGUUCAGAUUGCAGGCUGCAACUCGCCUGCAUGAAGCUGGAGUUGCUAGUAAACGCGCGUCAGCUAUAGUGCGUUGAAUACGUUCUCGGGCCUU